rfam:Delta proteobacterium MLMS-1 ctg905, whole genome shotgun sequence.
GGUCAAGCUACUAAGGGCAGACGGUGGAUGCCUUGGUACCAGGAGGCGAAGAAGGACGCGGUAAGCUGCGAUAAGCUUCGGGGAGCUGCUAACAGGCUUUGAUCCGGAGGUUUCCGAAUGGGGCAACCCGGCCGGGUAAAACCCGGUCAUCGUGUACUGAAUACAUAGGUACACGAGGCGAACGGGGGGAAGUGAAACAUCUCAGUACCCCCAGGAGAAGAAAUCAAUUGAGAUUCCGUCAGUAGUGGCGAGCGAACGCGGAUCAGCCCAAACCAUGGCACUUGUGCCAUGGGGUUGUGGGGCCCCGAUGUGGGAUUGACAAGUGAUAGCAGAGCGGUCUGGAAAGGCCGGCCAGAGACGGUGAUAGCCCGGUAUGCGAAAUCAUGAGUCACCCUAGGGUGUCCCCGAGUACCACGGGACACGAGAAACCCCGUGGGAAUCCGGGAGGACCAUCUUCCAAGGCUAAAUACUACCUGGUGACCGAUAGUGAACCAGUACCGUGAGGGAAAGGUGAAAAGCACCCCGGGAGGGGAGUGAAAUAGACCCUGAAACCGUCUGUCUACAAGCAGUGGAAGCACUAUGUCUUCGGACAGUGCGACCGCGUGCCUUUUGCAUAAUGAGUCAGCGAGUUACCUUAUGCAGCGAGGUUAAGCCGUGAGGUGUAGCCGUAGCGAAAGCGAGUCUUAACUGGGCGUAUAGUUGCAUGGGGUAAACCCGAAGCCGGGUGAUCUAGCCAUGGCCAGGGUGAAGCGAAGGUAAUACUUCGUGGAGGCCCGAACCGAUAUAGGUUGAAAACUGUUCGGAUGAGCUGUGGCUAGGAGUGAAAGGCUAAUCAAACUCGGGAAUAGCUGGUUUUCUCCGAAAUAUAUUUAGGUAUAGCCUCGUGUGAUGACUGACGGAGGUAGAGCACUGAUUGGGCUAGGGGUCCCCACAGGAUUACCAACCCCUGUCAAACUCCGAAUACCGUCAAGCUCAAGCACGGGAGUCAGACUGCGGGUGAUAAGAUUCGUGGUCGAGAGGGAAAGAGCCCAGACCGCCGGUUAAGGUCCCUAAAUGCAUGCUAAGUGGAAAAGGAUGUGGAACUGCCCAGACAACCAGGAGGUUGGCUUAGAAGCAGCAAUCCUUUAAAGAAAGCGUAAUAGCUCACUGGUCGAGUGGGUCUGCGCCGAAAAUUCAACGGGGCUAAGCAUGCUACCGAAGCUGCGGAUUUCGAGUGUCGCCUUAAGUUCAUCAAGCCGUUGGGGUAAGAAUUUGGUAAGCAGCGCGCCAGCGCUGCGCACCAAAUUCCCUUUAGCUAAGCAUGGUGAGUUUAAGGCGGCACUCGGAGUGGUAGGAGAACAUUGUGGUAGCCUGAGAAGGUACACCGAAAGGAGUGCUGGAGGUCCCACAAGCGCUUAUGCUGACACGAGUAGCGCAAAUGCGGGUGAGAACCCCGCACACCGAAAGCCUAAGGUUUCCUGUGGUCAAGUCAAUCUGCCCAGGGUUAGCCGGCCCCUAAGGCGAGGCCGAAAGGCGUAGUCGAUGGGAAACAGGUGAAUAUUCCUGUGCCGCCAGAUUAACGUUUGAGUGAAGGGGGGACGCAGAAGGGUAGGCCAUCCGGGUGUUGGAUGUCCCGGUUUAAGCGUGUAGGCGGGAAGGACAGGCAAAUCCGUUCUUCUGUAUAACGCCAAGGCGUGAUGACGAGGGCUUUUAGCCCAUAAAGUGGUUGAUCCCAUGCUGCCAGGAAAAGCCUCGUAGCGAGUUAAUGUGGUGACCGUACCGCAAACCGACACAGGUAGGCAGGGAGAGUAUCCUAAGGUGCUUGAGAGAACUCUGGUUAAGGAACUCGGCAAAAUGACACCGUAACUUCGGGAGAAGGUGUGCCCCCAUUAGGUGAAAUGAAUUCUUAUGGAGCCGAAGGGGGUUGCAGAGACCAGGGGGGAGCGACUGUUUACUAAAAACACAGGACUAUGCGAAGUCGAAAGACGCGGUAUAUGGUCUGACGCCUGCCCGGUGCCGGAAGGUUAAGGGGAGGGGUUAUCCCUUCGGGGAGAAGCUCCGAACUGAAGCCCCGGUAAACGGCGGCCGUAACUAUAACGGUCCUAAGGUAGCGAAAUUCCUUGUCGGGUAAGUUCCGACCUGCACGAAUGGCGUAACGAUUCCCCCGCUGUCUCAACCAGGGACUCAGCGAAACUGAAUUACCGGUGAAGAUGCCGGUUACCCGCAGCAAGACAGAAAGACCCCGUGAACCUUUACUACAGCUUGGCAUUGGAGUUUGGGGCAAUUUGUGUAGGAUAGGUGGGAGACGUUGAAGCGGGAACGCUAGUUCUCGUGGAGUCAACCUUGAAAUACCACCCUGAUUGUUCUAGGCUUCUAACCUCGACCCGUAAUCCGGGUCAGGGACAUUGUCUGGUGGGUAGUUUGACUGGGGCGGUCGCCUCCUAAAGAGUAACGGAGGCGCGCGAUGGUUCCCUCAGGCUGAUUGGAAACCAGCCGUAGAGUGUAAAGGCAUAAGGGAGCUUAACUGCGAGAGAGACAUUUCGAGCAGGUACGAAAGUAGGUCUUAGUGAUCCGGCGAUUCCGCAUGGAAGGGUCGUCGCUCAACGGAUAAAAGGUACUCCGGGGAUAACAGGCUUAUCUCCCCCAAGAGUUCAUAUCGACGGGGAGGUUUGGCACCUCGAUGUCGGCUCAUCGCAUCCUGGGGCUGGAGCAGGUCCCAAGGGUUUGGCUGUUCGCCAAUUAAAGCGGUACGCGAGCUGGGUUUAAAACGUCGUGAGACAGUUUGGUCCUUAUCUGCUGUGGGCGUAGGAUAUUUGAGGGGAUCUGUUCCUAGUACGAGAGGACCGGGAUGGACGAACCACUGGUGUUCCUGUUGUCGCGCCAGCGGCAAUGGCAGGGUAGCCACGUUCGGCAGGGAUAACCGCUGAAAGCAUCUAAGCGGGAAGCCCACCCCAAGAUAAGAUAUCCCGUGGGUUAAUCCCCACCUGAAGGCUCGUCAUAGACCAUGACGUUGAUAGGCCGGGUGUGGAAGUGUGGCAACACAUGGAGCUUACCGGUACUAAUUAGCCGUGCGGCUUGACCAU